UCCUUGUUAGCUCAGUCGGUAGAGCAUUCGGCUGUUAACCGAAGGGUCGUUGGUUCGAGUCCAACACAAGGAGCCA
rnacentral:tRNA from 1 species